rnacentral:rRNA from 1 species
GAUGAACGCUGGCGGCGUGCUUAACACAUGCAAGUCGAGCGAAUGGAUUAAGAGCUUGCUCUUAUGAAGUUAGCGGCGGACGGGUGAGUAACACGUGGGUAACCUGCCCAUAAGACUGGGAUAACUCCGGGAAACCGGGGCUAAUACCGGAUAACAUUUUGAACCGCAUGGUUCGAAAUUGAAAGGCGGCUUCGGCUGUCACUUAUGGAUGGACCCGCGUCGCAUUAGCUAGUUGGUGAGGUAACGGCUCACCAAGGCAACGAAGCGUAGCCGACCUGAGAGGGUGAUCGGCCACACUGGGACUGAGACACGGCCCAGACUCCUACGGGAGGCAGCAGUAGGGAAUCUUCCGCAAUGGACGAAAGUCUGACGGAGCAACGCCGCGUGAGUGAUGAAGGCUUUCGGGUCGUAAAACUCUGUUGUUAGGGAAGAACAAGUGCUAGUUGAAUAAGCUGGCACCUUGACGGUACCUAACCAGAAAGCCACGGCUAACUACGUGCCAGCCGCCGCGGUAA